rnacentral:rRNA from 1 species
UACGUAGGGGGCUAGCGUUGUCCGGAAUCAUUGGGCGUAAAGCGCGUGUAGGCGGCUUGGCAAGUUGAAUGUGAAAGCCCACGGCUCAACCGUGGAAGCGCAUCCAAAACUGCUUCGCUGGAGUCUCGGAGAGGAAGGUGGAAUGCUUGGUGUAGAGGUGAAAUUCGUAGAUAUCAAGCAGAACACCUGCGGCGAAGGCGGCCUUCUGGACGAUGACUGACGCUGAGACGCGAAAGCGUGGGGGGCAAACAGG